UACGUAGGGGGCAAGCGUUGUCCGGAAUUAUUGGGCGUAAAGCGCGCGCAGGCGGCUCUUUAAGUCUCGUGUAUAAACCCGGAGCUCAACUUCGGGACGCACGGGAAACUGGGGGGCUUGAGUGCAGGAGAGGAAAGCGGAAUUCCACGUGUAGCGGUGAAAUGCGUAGAGAUGUGGAGGAACACCAGUGGCGAAGGCGGCUUUCUGGCCUGUAACUGACGCUGAGGCGCGAAAGCGUGGGGAGCAAACAGG
rnacentral:rRNA from 1 species